AAAGGUGGAGGUGAAGAAGGGGAUGAUGGAGGCGGUGAUGGCAAUGGCGGGGUGGUGGUGGUACUGAUGGUGAUGAUCGUGGUGAUGACGGAGGUGGUGGUGAAGGUGGUAAGCGAUGGUGGUGACGGAGAAAGUAAUGGUGGUGGUGAUUAAUGAUGGAGGUGAUGAUGAUGAUGGAGGAUAUGGCGGUGGUGAAUCUGGGUUGAAACGAUAGAGGUGGUGGUGAUGUCACCGUGGUGAUCAUGGGGGAAGGCAAUGAUGGUGACAGCAUCAGAAGUGAUGUCAGAGGGUGGUCAUGGCAACGGUGACGCUGAUGGAGGUAGAGGCAGCGGUGGUAACAGAGGGGCGUGAUAGUGCAGAGGGUGUCGCUGAUGCAGACUGGGACAGAGAAGGAAGGCAGUGGUGAUGCUGGUACCAGGUAGGUGCUGGUGUAGUCUGAGGCUCCCAUAAUGAUGUCAUCAGGGUGGUGGUGGGCUUACAGUCCUGAGUUCGAGGGGUUCAGGGUGAUGAUGUGUCCUGAAACCCGGUCGUCCCCUCCGGCCCCAGCCAGGCACCUCUCUUGUCCCGCUGGCAUCUCUGGUUCUGUCUCAAUCGUCUCCCAGGAGGAACCUCUGGCUUCUGCUGACUAGCUCGGCUGCCUUGCCCUCUUCCUCCAAAUGGAGCCUGUCUGUCCAAGUGAGACAACAUGGAGGCCCCAACACCGCUCAGGUUCAGGGAUCGCCCAAGACAGAGAACACUUUCAGUGACUUAGGGCGUUACCACAUCCAGGGCCCCUCAGGGCCGGAGGGACCAUGACAGUGGAGACCCCCUAGGUGGGCAGUGAAGGAAGAGACAGAACUUAGAAGUGGACAGCCACUUGGUGGCAGCAUGCCGAGGUGACUUCCCCCUCUACAGAGUUCUACGAACCAAUGUCCUGUGAGGUCCCCAAGUCUGAAGUGUUAGGGGGGUCCCGGUGGAGGAGUGUAGGAUCUGAGGGCAGAGCAUGGUGCACAGGCAGGGACACUAGCCAGCCCCUGAGCUCCUGAUUCCACGACUGUUAGGCCAUCUCCAUUUUGUAAAUUUCUGUCCUCAUUCACGAGUGGGAUGAUGAGACGCCCCCUCUCCCCUUCUCUGAGGGGUCAGCCUCUGAUGCCUCAAGACCAUAGUCUCAGAAAGGACUCUGGGAAGAGAAAGGAGAUCAGAUGAUUAGAUGAUCUCAGCAGAACCCAGCUCAGUAGAGAAGCAGGCCCAGAGACGGCAGGGCAUACCCAAGGUCACACAGCAGCUCCAGAAAGCCCUCCCCAGGCAAGCUGAUGGAGGCUGAUUAGGCAGCCAGAGGCCCCUCUGUCUCUCUAAUUAAUGGAGUGGCUUUUUAAAAGGAUUCUAAUCACCCCGAUGCUAUCUGCUUAUCGCCAGAAUUCCUAAUUAGAUGGUCCUGGCAGGAACUUGCCUAAUUCCCUCCAGCCUCUGCCCCCUGCCCAGGGGGGCAGCCCACCCACCCAUCCUCCCCACCAGAUGGGCAGCUGUGGGGCCUCCUCUCCUCUCGGGGCCUGAGGUGGCCAACUCCAUUUCCUUCAGGAUGGAUGGGUGACAGGAAUGGAUGGAUGGGCUGCUGGAUUGACAGUGACAGGCGCUGGACAUCAAACCUGGUCCUCUUCGAUGGGCAGCCAGUGCUCUCAACCACUGUACCACAUCUCCAGUCCACUCACUUAAGCAUCUUAUGGAAAAUGAGCAAAUACACCAAAUGAACUUCAUACUGCCAACUAUUAUAUCACAACAAAAAUGAAUGAACCAGAACUUUAUGUAUUAAUGUGAAUAAAUAUCUCAAAUGUGAUGGUAAGCAAAAAAA